rnacentral:rRNA from 1 species
CUACGGGGUGCACCAGUGGGGAAUAUUGCACAAUGGGCGCAAGCCUGAUGCAGCCAUGCCACGUGUAUGAAGAAGGCCUUCGGGUUGUAAAGUACUUUCAGCGGGGAGGAAGGGAGUAAAGUUAAUACCUUUGCUCAUUGACGUUACCCGCAGAAGAAGCACCGGCUAACUCCGUGCCAGCAGCCGCGGUAAUACGGAGGGUGCAAGCGUUAAUCGGAAUUACGGGGCGUAAAGCGCACGCAGGCGGUUUGUUAAGUCAGAUGUGAAAUCCCCGGGCUCAACCUGGGAACUGCCUCUGAUACUGGCAAGCUUGAGUCUCGUAGAGGGGGGUAGAAUUCCAGGUGUAGCGGUGAAAUGCGUAGAGAUCUGGAGGAAUACCGGUGGCGAAGGCGGCCCCCUGGACGAAGACUGACGCUCAGGUGCGAAAGCGUGGGGAGCAAACAGGAUUAGAUACCCCCGUAGUC